GGCUUAUGGAGGGGGAUAACCAUUGGAAACGGUAGCUAAUACCGCAUGAUGUCGCAAGACCAAAGUGGGGGACCUUAAGGCCUCACGCCAUGAGAUGAACCCAGAUGAGAUUAGCUAGUAGGUGCGGUAAUGGCGUACCUAGGCGACGAUCUCUAGCUGGUCUGAGAGGAUGACCAGCCACACUGGAACUGAGAGACGGUCCAGACUCCUACGGGAGGCAGCAGUGGGGAAUAUUGCACAAUGGGCGGAAGCCUGAUGCAGCCAUGCCGCGUGUGUGAA
rnacentral:rRNA from 1 species